UACGAAGGGGGCUAGCGUUGUUCGGAAUCACUGGGCGUAAAGCGCGUGUAGGCGGAUUGUUAAGUCGGGGGUGAAAUCCCGAGGCUCAACCUCGGAACUGCCUUCGAAACUGUCGGUCUUGAGUUCGGGAGAGGUGAGUGGAACUGCGAGUGUAGAGGUGAAAUUCGUAGAUAUUCGCAAGAACACCAGUGGCGAAGGCGGCUCACUGGUCCGGUACUGACGCUCAGGCACGAAAGCGUGGGGAGCAAACAGG
rnacentral:rRNA from 1 species